CAUUUACUCUCUACUGGCUAUUUAACUCAAUGGUCUAUGCCUGGGAGAGCUAUAGGGUAUCGCCAAGCCAUUGAAUAUUUACUUAGACCACCAACAUCCCCUAAAACAUCUUCAACUUCAUCAACUUCAACUUCAACACCUUCAAAGAUUAUAAGCAAUGUGGA
rnacentral:ribozyme from 1 species